rnacentral:ribozyme from 1 species
GUACGCCCGGCAUGGGUGCGACGCUAUAGGGUGAAAGUCCCGAACGGGGGCUGGCGAGCGCCUACCGUUAGCUGAAGGCAAGGGUGUCCACCGUGAGGUGGAAUCUGAAGGAAGCUGGAGGCAAACACUUGACCUGAGGUACACGAACCCAAUGGGAGGCCGCCACAGUCGGACGAGUCUGCUGGACAAGACGAAGUCCUAAGCCGCCAAGGGCUGUGGAGGUAGAUUGGGCAGGUGCAUGAGUGGAAAGUGUCCAUCCUUAUCCGGGGAGGCCUGUACGGAACGCCUUCUGACGAUGGCAACCAAAAGUGCUGAACGUACAGGAGUCAGCAGAGGCCAUAGUACUGGAGUAAGGGACGCCUGAAACAGGAAGGGCCGAACGUCAACUCAGGGAUGAAUCAGACUCUUUCGAGAUGUUGCGUGUCGAAGCAGAAUUCCUUUCGGAACUCAUCUGAGGAAGCAAGGGUGAAGCCCAGAGGGCCUCAGAUCGAGGGCUGAGCGCAACCCGGCAAGACCUGAAUCUCAUCCCGCGGAAGGAGAAGAUCACGAUGGCUUUGUUGGAACGCAUCUUAGCGAGAGACAACCUCAUCACGGCGCUCAAACGGGUCGAAGCCAACCAAGGAGCACCGGGAAUCGACGGAGUAUCAACCGAUCAACUCCGUGAUUACAUCCGCGCUCACUGGAGCACGAUCCACGCCCAACUCUUGGCGGGAACCUACCGGCCGGCGCCUGUCCGCAGGGUCGAAAUCCCGAAACCGGGCGGCGGCACACGGCAGCUAGGCAUUCCCACCGUGGUGGACCGGCUGAUCCAACAAGCCAUUCUUCAAGAACUCACACCCAUUUUCGAUCCAGACUUCUCCUCUUCCAGCUUCGGAUUCCGUCCGGGCCGCAACGCCCACGAUGCCGUGCGGCAAGCGCAAGGCUACAUCCAGGAAGGGUAUCGGUACGUGGUCGACAUGGACCUGGAAAAGUUCUUUGAUCGGGUCAACCAUGACAUCUUGAUGAGUCGGGUGGCCCGAAAAGUCAAGGAUAAACGCGUGCUGAAACUGAUCCGUGCCUACCUGCAAGCCGGCGUUAUGAUCGAAGGGGUGAAGGUGCAGACGGAGGAAGGGACGCCGCAAGGCGGCCCCCUCAGCCCCCUGCUGGCGAACAUCCUUCUCGACGAUUUAGACAAGGAAUUGGAGAAGCGAGGAUUGAAAUUCUGCCGUUACGCAGAUGACUGCAACAUCUAUGUGAAAAGUCUGCGGGCAGGACAACGGGUGAAACAAAGCAUCCAACGGUUCUUGGAGAAAACGCUCAAACUCAAAGUAAACGAGGAGAAAAGUGCGGUGGACCGCCCGUGGAAACGGGCCUUUCUGGGGUUUAGCUUCACACCGGAACGAAAAGCGCGAAUCCGGCUCGCCCCAAGGUCGAUUCAACGUCUGAAACAGCGGAUUCGACAGCUGACCAACCCAAACUGGAGCAUAUCGAUGCCAGAACGAAUUCAUCGCGUCAAUCAAUACGUCAUGGGAUGGAUCGGGUAUUUUCGGCUCGUCGAAACCCCGUCUGUCCUUCAGACCAUCGAAGGAUGGAUUCGGAGGAGGCUUCGACUCUGUCAAUGGCUUCAAUGGAAACGGGUCAGAACCAGAAUCCGUGAGUUAAGAGCGCUGGGGCUGAAAGAGACAGCGGUGAUGGAGAUCGCCAAUACCCGAAAAGGAGCUUGGCGAACAACGAAAACGCCGCAACUCCACCAGGCCCUGGGCAAGACCUACUGGACCGCUCAAGGGCUCAAGAGUUUGACGCAACGAUAUUUCGAACUCCGUCAAGGUUGACGAACCGCCUAGUGCGGACCCGCAUGCUAGGUGGUGUGAGGGGACGGGGGUUAGCCGCCCCCUCCUACUCGAU